UCGGGAAUAUUGCGGCAAUGGAGGAAACUCUGACGCAGUGACGCCGCGUGCAGGAAGAAGGUUUUUCGGAUUGUAAACUGCUUUAGACAGGGAAGAAACAAGACAGUACCUGUAGAAUAAGCUCCGGCUAACUACGUGCCAGCAGCCGCGGUAAUACGUAGGGAGCAAGCGUUAUCCGGAUUUAUUGGGUGUAAAGGGUGCGUAGACGGAGAUACAAGUUGGUUGUGAAAUCCCUCGGCUCAACUGAGGAACUGCAACCAAAACUAUAUCCCUUGAGUGCUGGAGGGGAAAGUGGAAUUCCUAGUGUAGCGGUGAAAUGCGUAGAUAUUAGGAGGAACACCAGUGGCGAAGGCGACUUUCUGGACAGUAACUGACGUUGAGGCACGAAAGCGUGGGGA
rnacentral:rRNA from 1 species